AAAAAAAAACUAUGAUAGAAAAAUUAGCAUAUUCUUCCAUUAGUUUCGCAAAUGCGCCGACAACGUUUUUGACUUCAAAAACAAAAGUAGAACUCGUGUGUGAAAAGCAAGAUUCUUUCCUUUCUGGUAUAAUGUUCUAAUUUGUAAUUAAAAUAUCGAAUAUUGCUUCUGAAAGGAUCAUAUGUAUAAAUCUGACCCAAAAAAA
rnacentral:sRNA from 1 species